rnacentral:lncRNA from 1 species
GGUUAGUGACAAGAAUACCCAAAGGAAUAUUUUCACAAUUAUUUUUAUAUGCCCAAUACACAAGCUAAUGUUGCAAAUAAUUAAAAGCUCAUGUUACGAUCUGAUCAGUACUUGUUUUAGGACACUAAGCUUGUCCUUGGGAAACCGUCAAUUUAUGUCGGCGAAGUGGUUUCCCUUCCAAUCGCUGACCUAUAUCAAGAUCAACUCAACGAGAUCUGCAAUAUUUAUUAUAGACAUAUGCAUCGACAACCGCCCUUUUAAAGUUUUUAUAAAU